UACGUAGGGGCCUAGCGUUGUCCGGAUUUAUUGGGCGUAAAGAGCUCGUAGGCGGUUCGGCAAGUCGGAUGUGAAAUCUCCACGCUCAACGUGGAGGGGCCAUUCGAAACUGCCGUGACUCGAGUCCGGUAGGGGAGUGUGGAAUUCCCGGUGUAGCGGUGAAAUGCGUAGAUAUCGCUUGGAACGCCGAAGGUGAAAACAGGUUGCUGGGGAUGUGCCGACGCUGAGACACGAAAGCCAGGGGAGCAAACGGG
rnacentral:rRNA from 1 species